UUUCUGUACGUUAUAGCAUAAAGAUGUGCUGAGUCUGAAAAUAAAAAACUGGGAUGGAAGAAAAAAGUCUCACACAACAUCCCAAAUAUUGUAACCGUUCUAAAAAUCUCAUAGACCUCUAAGUCGUCUGAAAAAUCAACUGAUUUCUCCCAGGCUGAGUGUGGCAUAUUUUGCUAUAGAUCAGACCUGCAUUUCCAUCCAUGCCCGUGCUGAAGCUUCUGGUGCUGCCUGGUUUGACCCUCUUAGAUGCUACCAGAUUCAAACCUGUUCAGUACUGAAUGCUUCAAAACCUGAUGAGCUCCUUCUGGUCAUGUUUUCCCUGCUAGUCCCAACAACUUCACACAGAUUUGCUUUACAAGACCAGAACCGUGUCUGGCUGUACUGUAUUCAUCAUGGUAGUAUCCAGAGACUGCCUGAUUGCUGUUUUGUCACACCUCCAUAGUCUUAACUUUCUAAGUAAAUGAAGAAUUAAAGUUGA